rnacentral:tRNA from 1 species
AUCUUUAUAGUACCAAUUAGUACAAGUGACUUCCAAUCACCCGGUCUUGGUUGAACCCCAAGUAAAGAUA